rnacentral:lncRNA from 1 species
CACGUACAUUUAUCAAAUCCUCUUUAAAAAAUGACAAAAAUACUUUUUGGUUCUUAAAAGCCAUUAUGGAUCUGUUUCAUGCCAGAUUUGGUCAACUGGAGGAUGCCCAAGACUGUUUGCUAUAAUCAUUUUACAUUUUCAAAGGCGCUUUAUCAAGUAGUGAUUACAGAUGCAUACUGUAUGUGAUCAGUAAAUCUUGGUUUCUCAACUUCCUCUUCUGCAGGGAUACAGAGCAUGGGAACAACUGUCCAGAGACUGGCACUUAUCCCAGCGUUAAAGAAGAAUGGAUUUCAAUGGAGCAGCAGGAAAGAGAGAAUGAAGUGUGUUACGCCACUGUGAAACUAAAAGUGCCAAAGAAAGUGGUCCCAGUGGUACAAUUUGAUGAAAGAUCUGAGUACGCCACUGUGAGAAUACACCGAGAGGCUACAGGAGCACCAGAGGAGGGAUUCCUGUCUUCAGUCACUGAAUAAAGAAGAUUUACAAACUGGGAAAUAGGGAAAUAAGGCAUUUCUUCAUUUCUUAAUGCUUUAUUAUUUCUGCACCAGUGUACCUUUCCUAUUUAUUCCAUUGUUUUUGGACUUUGAAGGUAGUGUGUGUCAUAUUUUUAUGUAGACUCCCUCCUCUGAAUGGAUGGACACUGCUUAAUUAUUUGAGUUAAUGAAGUGAACAAUGUAUUGUAUGACACACUGAGUAUUGUGUGUCCUCACUUAAACUAUGUGGUAUAAACUAAAAAGACAAUUACACCAGGUGUUAAAUUACCCCCUUUUUAAUAUAUUACUUUUACCGUUUAUGCUUGUGGAGCUACUGUAUCUGUGAUAAAUUGAUCUUCUUUACUUUAAAUGGGAACAAUAACUCUAAAAGUAGAGGAAUAGAGCAGUGUCCAUCAACACUGGUUCAUAAGUGCCAAAAAGGCCAGAUGUUUUCACUACACCUGAGUUUUUAAAUAUGGGAAUUGAACUUAUUGUUAUUAAUUACAUUAACUAACCUUUCCUACUUUAUGUAGCUGGUUAUCAGAAAAACAUUAAACUGGCUUGAGUUGCCCAACAUAAAAUGCAAUAAUGAUCAAACUCAACUUGUAGGAGGUUCCUGCAACACAUUAGUUAAAGUAAGGAUUUUAAACUUGGUUUCCUGUCUAAGUUCCACUCCUUCCAUAUUAAAUUCA